UACAGAGGGGGCAAGCGUUAUUCGGAAUUAUUGGGCGUAAAGGGUGCGUAGGUGGCUCCGUAAGUCGGGUGUGAAAUUUCGGAGCUUAACUCCGAAACUGCAUUCGAUACUGCGGUGCUUGAGGACUGGAGAGGAGACUGGAAUUCAUGGUGUAGCAGUGAAAUGCGUAGAGAUCAUGGGGAAGACCAGUGGCGAAGGCGGGUCUCUGGACAGUUCCUGACACUGAGGCACGAAGGCCAGGGGAGCAAACGGG
rnacentral:rRNA from 1 species